UAUGUCAAGCCCAAUGGACCACUACUUGUUGCCAAUUUGCCUGCAGAAGACAGACGGAAGAUUUUCUUCUCAUCUGGUCCCCUCUCCAGGAAUGCAAAGCUGUUUUCCAUCCCUCCAAACAAACAGCUAAGAAAUAAAGGGCUAAAGGUAUUUGAGAACUUAAUCAAGGUGCUGCUGUAUGGGCCACUGGAAGAGUCUAAAUGCCUCCGACAUGGAACACCUAAGACUUGGUGGUGGGAAAUUUUCUCAGACUUCUGGGGACAUAUUUCCAAAUACCUUGGGAGGGUUAGGAGAGUGUCAUAACUGUUCUGACCUGAUACAAUGAUCCUGAUGCAGGCUGCCAUAUAUUGCAAUGAAGGCUUUACAACAUCAAUAUUUUCCAAUCUCCCUUUUGAUUCUCUCUUCUGCAGAUUAACAGAGAGCCAUGUGCAAAGGGCAACACACCCUGCCCCCCCAAUUCACCCAGGCAAACAAAAUGGAUUCACUGAUUUGGGCUUUGCAAAAAACAAGCAGGAACUAAAAUUUCCCAUAAAUGUC